CGAUGCCGAGCGCGGAGCGGGUGCGGAGCGCGGUGCAGCUCUACCGGUACCUGCUGCGCUGCUGCCGCCGCCUGCCCGAGGGGAGCGUCCGCCAGCACUACAGACACGCCAUCCGCCAGAGUUUCAAGGUUCAUGCUGAUGAAGAUGACCCUGAGCGAAUCCAGCAGAUCAUUAAAAGAGCCAUUGAAGAUGCUGACUGGGUGAUGAAUAAAUAUGAAAAACAGAAGAAGACGAAGGAUGAAGACAAGAAGGACACUGUUCAAGAGGGAAAGCACCAAGGAGCUGGAAGAUGCAACUGGGACAUGUCUGCAGCUCCAAAUGUCCGAGGUGCCAGCUGAGAACAUCAGACCAAAGGUGCUUAACUUGGGAGACCUUCAACAUUAUACUUGGUGAUAAUCUUACACAUUUCACUGUGUGGCCGUUUAACCUGAGGAACAUCAGUUUUACAAAACAGCAUCUGCAGCAGCCUGGAUGGACAAGUUCAAGAGGAACCACAGCACAGGACACAGGGAAGCACCACACUGGCAGCACUGCCUGAAGAGAGCUGGAUGUUAAAGACUGCUCGUCCCCUACUCACUGGCAGUGUAGGGUGAGUGUUCCUCCAGGUACACAAUCAUUGGAUGACCAACAAACAAAUUCAAAAAAAUAGGAGAUGUAGUGAGAGGAUAUGUUCAUAUUGAUGUCUUUAUUUAGAUUUGUGAUGGGAGACGAAAUGUCCUAAAUUAGUCCAAAUAUUCAGUCCAUGAAUUGGAAGUGGCAGCAGAGUAGCAGAAAGUUGUGUUCUGUGAUGCUCAACAGAGACUGACCAGGGAAAUGGUCUGUAUUUCAGUGUAUUAGUGCUGUCUGUGUUCCCAUGUCUGUAUUUCCAUGUCUGUAUUUCGAUGUGCAAGUAUUGAGCUGGACUUGCAGCUCAAAAUCAAUGAAAACUGACUAAAAAUACUCUGAAGAUGCUGAAGAAUGUGCCACAGGAAUUGUCUUUUUUGGUAGGGGAAGAGAGAGAGUUGCUAGAAAAGGAGCUGUAAGCUCAUACCUCCACCCUCUGGCAUUGUUUCCCUUCUGGAAAGGGCAGAGGAAGGAAAUUUCACUCUCACAGAAGGUUUGGAAAUGUGAUGUAAUUCACACAGACACUGAAAGCUGUGCAGGCCUAGGCAAGACUGGCCUAACUGUAGUGCUUAGUAAGGAGUCCUUAAAAACAAUUUAAGUAGUAAAAAGACUCAUAAAGAUGAAGCAGAGCCAUAAAAUUGCCUGAGAGGACCCCUGCCUCUGUCCAGGAAACAUGGUAAGCAGGUCAACCUGCAGUGGUGGUGGAUAGACUGAGAUGUGCUGGCCCAAGUGUGACUUUGUGCAGCAAACACGUGAGCAGGUGAAGGAGGUGUCAGGAGCAGGUGAAGGAGGUGUCAGGAGCAGGGAGAGACCAGCAGGGCAGCAGCAGAGACUCUGAGGGCAGCAGGAAAGACAAGCCUGGGACUUUUGCUGGAAUUGUUUCAGCAGUGCUCUGUGUUUUUCACACUGAAGUUUUAAAUGUUCAGAACUGAAGUUACUUUUAUACUUCAAUAUUCUGUUCUUCAUGUCAGUCCAUAAAUUUGUGGGUUUUUGAAAACCAGUAUUCAGAUCUCUUCUGUUACCUGUCCUUGGUUAGAAAUUGCCCUCAGCCAGUGCUCUGUUGCUGAAAUUGGAGUUCCCUCCUCAGGCCAUGCUUUCCCUAAAGGAUGCCUUUGCUGCUGCAGCCGUGGCUGAGGAUCCCAGCAGUGAGUCAGGAGGUGUCAGCAACGCUUCUGCUUGAGCCAACGUGCAGCCAGGCACACAAAAUCUGGCUGUUGACUGUCUCCUGCCUUUGUCCCUGCCUCACUUCCUCACCUCUGGUUGUGAUAUGCACACAUUGGAAUUUUGGAAAGGGUGACUGAUGAGGGAAUUUUGUUAUUUCUGCACAUCUGAGUUUGGCCGAGCUGACCCCGAGCAGACAGGAAGGGGUGGGUUUACUGGCACUGGCACGACACUGUAAAUUUAGCACUCUCCUUAACUUUCAUUUCUGCCCUCAGAUGUUCACAUAGGGAAAUUUUCCACCCUGCCCUGCCAUCAUUUGACGUGCAGCCUUCCACUGAGGAGCAGGAGGUGGCAAAUGAAACGUUACCCUUCCCACCCUCAACUGCUGCUUUUAAUGUCCCUUCAAUCUGCAGAAACUAAAAAGGAGUCCAGACUGGGAUUCUACUUGUAUUUGCAUAUUUUCAAGCACAUAGGCCUGGGCCUUUUAUUUUGCUUUUGAUAGAGUUUUUAUCCCCACUUUAUAAAGAAAACUUCAAAAUAAUGAAGAAGCCAGUGAAGAAGAGACUCCAGUUUAUGGUGAAUAUGAUAAAACCUUAAAGGAACAGUAAGCAAUCAGAACACACCCAAAAAACCAGAGCUGACAUCUUGCAAAGUCUGGGGGAAGAUUCAAACCAAAUGAAUGUUCUUUGGGAAAUGAAAAAUCAAACCAGUAUAAAAGAAGAAGAUUGACAGUAGUCAGUGAGAGGAGAUAUUUGAGAGCAGCUUUUUAAGCAGUAGUUAUUAUUGUCACUAAUUGUAUCUUUCUUUACCAGAAACCACACAAAGCUUCCAAUAAAACCAGUGGAUCUGUGGAGGUUCCAGAGAACAAAGGCAGGGAGAACUGGAGGGAUACAGAGCCUGAGAGAUUAAAGUCAAGAAACUUUGACAGAGAAGAGCCUCUCCUGGCAGGGUUGGGAGCACCUCACAGAGCCCGG